rnacentral:rRNA from 1 species
UACGUAGGGUCCGAGCGUUGUCCGGAAUUACUGGGCGUAAAGAGCUCGUAGGUGGUUUGUCGCGUUGUUCGUGAAAACUCACAGCUUAACUGUGGGCGUGCGGGCGAUACGGGCAGACUUGAGUACUGCAGGGGAGACUGGAAUUCCUGGUGUAGCGGUGGAAUGCGCAGAUAUCAGGAGGAACACCGGUGGCGAAGGCGGGUCUCUGGGCAGUAACUGACGCUGAGGAGCGAAAGCCAGGGGAGCAAACGGG